GACAGAGGUCCCGAGCGUUAGACGGAAUCACUGGGCUUAAAGCGUGUGUAGGCGGAAGGGUAAGUACCUUGUGAAAUCCCACGGCUCAACCGUGGAACUGCUUGGUAUACUGCUUUUCUUGAGCCACUUAGGGGCAACCGGAACAAAUGGUGGAGCGGUGAAAUGCGUAGAUAUCAUUUGGAACGCCAAUGGUGAAAACAGGUAGCUGGGGCUGUGCUGACGCUGAGACACGAAAGCCAGGGGAGCAAACGGG
rnacentral:rRNA from 1 species